rnacentral:rRNA from 1 species
GGAUUCCCCUAGUACUGCGAGUGAAGCGGGAAAAGCUCAAAUUUAAAAUCUGGUGGUCUCUGGCCUCCGAGUUGUAAUUUAGAGAAGCGUCUUCCGCGCCGGACCGUGCACAAGUCUCCUGGAAUGGAGCGUCAUAGAGGGUGAGAAUCCCGUCUUUGGCACGGAUGCCUGUGCUUCUGUGAUGCGCUCUCGAAGAGUCGAGUUGUUUGGGAAUGCAGCUCAAAAUGGGUGGUGAACUCCAUCUAAAGCUAAAUAUUGGCGAGAGACCGAUAGCGAACAAGUACCGUGAGGGAAAGAUGAAAAGCACUUUGGAAAGAGAGUGAAACAGUACGUGAAAUUGUUGAAAGGGAAACGCUUGAAGUCAGUCGCGUCGACCGAGACUCAGCCUUGCCUUGGCUUGGUGUACUUCUCGGCCCGACGGGUCAGCAUCAAUUUUGCCCCUCGGAUAAUGGCAAGGGAAAGGUGGCACCUUUGCAGGUGUGUUAUAGUCUCCUGUCGCAUGCGAGGGGUGGGAUUGAGGAACUCAGCGCGCACCUUGGUGUCGGGGCUUCGGCCCACGUCACGCGCUUAGGAUGCUGGCGUAAUGGCUUUAAACGACCCGUCUUGAAACACGGACCAAGGAGUCCAACACGCCCGCGAGUGUUCGGGUGGAAAACCCGUGCGCGCAAUGAAAGUGAAAGUUGGGACCUCUGUCGUGGAGGGCACCGACGCCCGGACCAGACCUUCUGUGACGGACUGCGGUAGAGCGUGUGUUUUGGGACCCGAAAGAUGGUGAACUAUGCCUGAAUAGGGUGAAGCCAGAGGAAACUCUGGUGGAGGCUCGUAGCGAUUCU